UUCCGUUUUCUUUUUUGGAGU
rnacentral:piRNA from 1 species